UUCUUGAGUUCCUUCCGGUGGUUAGUUC
rnacentral:sRNA from 1 species